rnacentral:rRNA from 1 species
AAUGAACGCUGGCGGCAUGCCUUACACAUGCAAGUCGAACGGCAGCAUGACCUAGCUUGCUAGGUUGAUGGCGAGUGGCGAACGGGUGAGUAAUGCAUCGGAACGUGCCUUUUAGUGGGGGAUAACGUAGCGAAAGUUACGCUAAUACCGCAUAUUCUCUGAGGAGGAAAGCAGGGGACCUUCGGGCCUUGCGCUAGAAGAGCGGCCGAUGUCGGAUUAGCUAGUUGGUGAGGUAAAGGCUCACCAAGGCAACGACCCGUAGCGGGUCUGAGAGGAUGAUCCGCCACACUGGGACUGAGACACGGCCCAGACUCCUACGGGAGGCAGCAGUGGGGAAUUUUGGACAAUGGGCGCAAGCCUGAUCCAGCCAUGCCGCGUGAGUGAAGAAGGCCUUCGGGUUGUAAAGCUCUUUCGGCUGGGAAGAAAUCGCACCCUCUAAUACAGGGUGUGGAUGACGGUACCAGCAUAAGAAGCACCGGCUAACUACGUG